AACACCACAUAAUCAAUUUGACGAUAAUAAAUAUAUUUCUAUUUCCGAUAGCGUAGGGGGCCAACCGAUUUACUUACUUCCGGAUUUAUGUAUCUUCGUUGGUAAAUUUUAAUUGAAAGUGUGUUUUUGUGAUAAUUGGACUCUAAUGACGAAGUAACGGAUAGUGUGACAUUUCAUUACAGUUAUGAGCUUAUUAUGCAUUGAUGAGGGACGCAAUCGCGUUGAAGAUUUUUCAACAACAUGAUCUCAGGGAAAAGAUGGUGACAGGAAAGCUGUUUAUGAAGUUGCAUAUGAGGGGGAGGCAGCUUCCAGCACAGUAUCAAAUUUGCAGCAAGACUUGGACAAAGGUUCCCUGAAGUUUAUAGAUAUUUAGUCAGCCAGUCGCCUAUCCAGUCAGUCACCACUGCAGUGAGCCACCUCUCCAGUAGUGUACACAGCCACCAGUGCAUCAAAUGUAGACAGUGAGUCCGGCAUUAAGUCAGUCAUCAAUCGAUCAGUCCAGUAGCCAACCAGUCAAAUCUGCUAUCAACUAAUCAAAUGUACACAUGGACUCGGCCAUCAGUCAGCCACUAGUCACCAGUACAGCCACCAGUGACCAGUAUGUCACCAUUCAACAGUAUGUCAUGAUCAGUCACCAGUCCAAUUACCAACAUUGUCACCAGUUCAGUUACCAGUUGCUAGGCACCAGUCCAGUUACCAGUCAUCAGUCCAGUUACCAGUCACUAGUCCAGUUACUAGUCACCAGUCCAGUUACCAGUCAUCAGUCCAGUCACAAGGCAC